rnacentral:rRNA from 1 species
AGUAACGCGUGGAUAACCUGCCUCACACUGGGGGAUGACAGUUAGAAAUGACUGCUAAUACCGCAUAAGCGCACAGUACCGCAUGGUACAGUGUGAAAAACUCCGGUGGUGUGAGAUGGAUCCGCGUCUGAUUAGCCAGUUGGCGGGGUAACGGCCCACCAAAGCGACGAUCAGUAGCCGACCUGAGAGGGUGACCGGCCACAUUGGGACUGAGACACGGCCCAA